rnacentral:tRNA from 1 species
ACAAAAUGUAACUUAAAUAAAGUUCUCCGCUUACACCGUAGGUAUAUCUGUUAAAAUCAGUUCAUUUUGA